rnacentral:rRNA from 1 species
UGGGGAAUCUUGCGCAAUGGGCGAAAGCCUGACGCAGCCAUGCCGCGUGAAUGAUGAAGGUCUUAGGAUUGUAAAAUUCUUUCACCGGGGACGAUAAUGACGGUACCCGGAGAAGAAGCCCCCGGCUAACUUCGUGCCAGCAGCCGCGGUAAUACAAAGGGGGCUAGCGUUGCUCGGAAUUACUGGGCGUAAAGGGAGCGUAGGCGGACAUUUUAAGUCAGGGGUGAAAUCCCGGGGCUCAACCUCGGAACUGCCUUUGAUACUGGGUGUCUUGAGUGUGAUAGAGGUAUGUGGAACUCCGAGUGUAGAGGUGAAAUUCGUAGAUAUUCGGAAGAACACCAGUGGCGAAGGCGACAUACUGGAUCAUUACUGACGCUGAGGCUCGAAAGCGUGGGGAGCAAACNGGAUUAGAUACCCUGGUNGUCCACGCCGUAAACGAUGAUUGCUAGUUGUCGGGGUGUUUACACCUCGUGACGCAGCUAACGCAUUAA